rnacentral:lncRNA from 1 species
GGCAAAUUAUUCUUAUAUCUUUACAUUUGAAAAUUAAGGGAAAGUUUCACCCAUGGAAUAUUAGCAUUGUGACAAUGCUAAUGAGAGUUUCUCCAGAAACUAUGAUCCUGGUCAGCAGCCAGUCAUUUCAUAGAAUAUAAACUUCAAGAAUAUUCUCUGAAGAGCAAUGAAACUGAGAUAAGAUCUAACCACUGUUACCAACAACCAAGAAAAAUAGGAGCCGCCUGGACAGCUUCCGUGUGGACGUCUGAAACGGAGAGAACUCAGUCACUCAGUGCUCAGCUGAGGUCCCAGAGGCCAAGCUGCACCCUCCUCUCUGUCCCUGCAGCACAGUUCAUCCACCUUCCGAAACUCAUCAACAGAUGAGUGGGCGAGGAAAGAAAAUCAGUGUUUACAAUUCCAGUAAAGACAUUAAAAUUCA